rnacentral:lncRNA from 1 species
UAAAAUCGAAACAAAACAUCUACCUGCAGUAGGGCACCUCUAGCUCAGCACGUCGGGUAGGGCUCUAACUCGCGAUGCCCUUGCCUCGAUCCUGGUCCGCGGACGGUGCAGCAGCCGGAACCUGUGGCUCUGCAAAAUAUAGGUAACAACUGGGCGUGAGAACUACUGUAAAAACAAGUAGUCCUCAGUGGGUACCGCCCAAAACAACAUCGGUCCACCCACUAAGUCUACAGAAGGGAGCAAGAGUAGUCAGAAAAGUAGGAAAUAAACUCUACCGUUAUCGAUCACUACACUAUCAUGCUCUAAACUAACCAACUGUAGGAAAUGUCAACUCUGACCCAAUCAACUUGGGACUGUAAGCAUACCCGUCCUCGGGACUGUGAAUACACCCGUCCCUGCCCCGUUGCGACUAUCAAGCUCUAUCCACACUAACUGGUCCGUGGAGAGCAAGUCCAACUGGCAUGAGCGACACCAACGCGAAAGCACAAAGCCUGACUCCGGAGUGGCACUCGUGGGCGCUACCCAACCGAAUAUGCAGCGUAUCUCUGUCGAGCUCAAACAGGCUCUGAAAAGCCAAAGUCAAGAAAUCGACUCUAACUGGUCUAACAACCAAUAAGUAAUGUGCCCUCGGCACAAUCAGACGCCAAAAAGGCGAUACGGGUCCACCGUCAAUCUCAACGGCACCCUACAGUCCGGAACAGCCUGAACGACCCUGUAAAAUCCCCUCGGCGAACCAGCACGAGUGUAGAUACAUUCUAAACUACCUGGAGUACUCGUCUCGAAGAUACUGCGACAGUACAAUAUAAUAACGGCUCCUAGAGCUAAAUCAGGCAGUUUAAUCAAGUGACAGAUCCAAAUCGCAGGUUUUCUCCUAAUUCAGUUUCCAAGUUCAACAUAUAUAAUCUACUUAAUUUAUUACCACAUGCUUCAAAUUCAGAUUUGCAUUCUAUCAUGUAAUCCAUGAAUUCGAGCUAGAAUAAAUUAUCAAAAUCGAGAUCUAUACAUGUUGACGAU